rnacentral:rRNA from 1 species
AGGUAUUGGGCGGCAGCUUACCAUGCAGUCGAGCGGAACGAUACCAGCUUGCUGGUAGGCGUCGAGCGGCGGACGGGUGAGUAAUACUUAGGAAUCUACCUAGUAGUGGGGGAUAGCUCGGGGAAACUCGAAUUAAUACCGCAUACGACCUACGGGAGAAAGGGGGCAGUUUACUGCUCUCGCUAUUAGAUGAGCCUAAGUCGGAUUAGCUAGAUGGUGGGGUAAAGGCCUACCAUGGCGACGAUCUGUAGCUGGUCUGAGAGGAUGAUCAGCCACACCGGGACUGAGACACGGCCCGGACUCCUACGGGAGGCAGCAGUGGGGAAUAUUGGACAAGGGGGGAAACCCUGAUCCAGCCAUGCCGCGUGUGUGAAGAAGGCCUUUUGGUUGUAAAGCACUUUAAGCAGUGAAGAAGACUCCUCGGUUAAUACCCGUGGACGAUGACAUAGCUGCAGAAUAAGCACCGGCUAACUCUGUGCCAGCAGCCGCGGUAAUACAGAGGGUGCAAGCGUUAAUCGGGAUUACUGGGCGUAAAGCGAGCGUAGGUGGCUUGAUAAGUCAGAUGUGAAAUCCCCGGGCUUAACCUGGGAACUGCAUCUGAAACUGUUAGGCUAGAGUAGGUGAGAGGAAGGUAGAAUUCCAGGUGUAGCGGUGAAAUGCGUAGAGAUCUGGGGGAAUACCGAUGGCGAAGGCAGCCUUCUGGCAUCAUACUGACACUGAGGCUCGAAAGCGUGGGUAGCAAACAGGAUUAGAUACCCUGGUAGUCCACGCCGUAAACGAUGUCUACUAGUCGUUGGGUCCCUUGAGGACUUAGUGACGCAGCUAACGCAAUAAGUAGACCGCCUGGGGAGUACGGCCGCAAGGUUAAAACUCAAAUGAAUUGACGGGGGCCCGCACAAGCGGUGGAGCAUGUGGUUUAAUUCGAUGCAACGCGAAGAACCUUACCUGGUCUUAACACAUCUAGAUCCUGCAGAGAUGCGGGAGUGCCUUCGGGAAUUAGAUACAGUGCUGCAUGGCUGUCGUCAGCUCGGUGUCGUGAGAAUG